GCCUGCAUAGCUCAGUGGUAGAGCAACUCACUUGUAAUGAGUAGGUCGGGAGUUCAAAUCUCUCUGCAGGCU
rnacentral:tRNA from 1 species